rnacentral:rRNA from 1 species
AAACCAACCGGGAUUGCCUUAGUAACGGCGAGUGAAGCGGCAAAAGCUCAAAUUUGAAAUCUGGUACCUUCGGUGCCCGAGUUGUAAUUUGGAGAGGGCAACUUUGGGGCCGUUCCUUGUCUAUGUUCCUUGGAACAGGACGUCAUAGAGGGUGAGAAUCCCGUGUGGCGAGGAGUGCGGUUCUUUGUAAAGUGCCUUCGAAGAGUCGAGUUGUUUGGGAAUGCAGCUCUAAGUGGGUGGUAAAUUCCAUCUAAAGCUAAAUAUUGGCGAGAGACCGAUAGCGAACAAGUACAGUGAUGGAAAGAUGAAAAGAACUUUGAAAAGAGAGUGAAAAAGUACGUGAAAUUGUUGAAAGGGAAGGGCAUUUGAUCAGACAUGGUGUUUUGUGCCCUCUGCUCCUUGUGGGUAGGGGAAUCUCGCAUUUCACUGGGCCAGCAUCAGUUUUGGUGGCAGGAUAAAUCCAUAGGAAUGUAGCUUGCCUCGGUAAGUAUUAUAGCCUGUGGGAAUACUGCCAGCUGGGACUGAGGACUGCGACGUAANUCAAGG